rnacentral:piRNA from 1 species
UUGGGUUGCUGGAUUUCUGAAGUAAGGGU